UUGAACAGUUAAAACAUUUUGGUUCUAUUUCAUACAACAUUCUCACCAUUCAUUCCAAAUGAACCUCCUCCCUGGCAUAUACCUUACAUCUUUGUGCACAUGCUUUGGUUGCUUACUCCUGCGUUUGCCUGUGUUAAAUCCUCAUUGCUUAAGAUCCAGCUCAAACACUUCUCUGAUGAGCCUUCACUGCGAUGACUUUUCCUUUCACAAACCCAGAGCGUACUCACUAACUCCCAUCAUCUGCUCACUGUGUUCCACGGAGGUAAGACAGCAGCAUGGUGUGUGCCUCUUCACGUUGUUCUGUGAGUCUUCUCUUCUAGAUGCUUCACUCUGGAACGCUUGGAUAGAAGAAAGUGUCUUACACCUGCCUAGUUCGUGCCUGGGAGAGGAUGGCUGGAGUCUAUCAGGCAGAUGACCUACCUAGUACUGACCAGGUGAUUACCGAUGGACUGACUUAAGAUUCCAUCUCUGGGAGAAUCCAAACUGCCUGGGAACAUGGAUACGUGGACUCCAUCCGAAGCCCUUUUACAGUGUGGAGUACGUACGUAGUGGGAGUGGUGCCCAGUCUGUCUUUCAACACCCAGGUAAAACAAGGAAUGCCUCUCUCUCUCUCACCCUAAAAACUCUAUUCUUUUAAAAAGGACACUUGUCAGUCUUUAUUAAGCCAAUUCCUUUUUUGUUUUUUAAUAUGAGACUUAGAAUUUCCGCUUUUUACUUUAAAGUCAGACACAAAUUUAUAACACUUCUGAAGCAUUCUGAGAGCAGAAUCCUAGAAUUUUGCUGAUUUUCCACUAUUGCCUGGUUGAUUUAUCCAUAAUUUAACCGUUUUGUUAGCAACUUGCCUUUAUUCUAAAUCAUUUAAAAAAUCAAAGGUUUUCAAAACAUUAAUGUUCUAUCUUUUCGCAUUCGUAAUUUAUUGGUUUGCUUAAUAUUAAAUGAUGUCAUUACAAUAACAGGUACAAUUUGAAUCCACAUUUGAGAAUAGGUUCUGUAAAUGUAACUCAUUUGGGGAGAACCUAAGUGGACAGGGACAGGGUACUAGAGGCUAAAGCCCCUCACAGCCUUGGUGCUUGGCCUACUUUACAGGCAGAAGUCCCUGUGUUUUAUAGACACAAUGAGGAGUGCUGGCUCAACGGAAAUGGGAGGGCAGACCUACUGAAUGUUGCCAACUAAUUCUCAGAGAAAAAUUGCACCUGCAGAUCCUAGUUUUGCCAGCAGGUGGCAGAUGGGGUUCAUGAGCUGGUUUUGGCCAGGACUUGGCCGGAAGCUGAGCCUUUGCCAGUAGGAAUGGUUAAGAGAAGACAGACAACCUCCCUUUUCAUCAUGUGAAGCCCUUUUUGUCUUUCCUGCUCCUUUGAUAGCCUGGUGGUGUUUUUCUCUUCAAGUCAAAGUUGGCAGAAUUCCAGGAACUGUGGCGAGGGAACCCAGAACCCUAAGAAUACACUGGUGUUCUCACCUAUCUUCUUCUUAGCUUCAGUUUCCCGAGCAUGGGGCCAAUUCCUAUCUUGUUGAGGAAUCAAUCAUUUCAGUUUCUUUUUUCUCCUUGAAUAGGGAGGAGAGCAAUAUUUUACCUUCUUGGGAAGCUGGUCACCCUACCAUCUGCUGUAGAUUGCCUGAAAAGUAGAUACGGAUGUUGCUAUCCACUGACUGCCCCCUCACCCCCGCCCUCCUCAGAGUUCCCCAAGAGAACUUUUUUAAAAGUUUAUGUAUUUAUGUGUCUGGAGAGACAGAGACAGUGUGUGAG